rnacentral:ncRNA from 1 species
UUUAUCAAGAGCGACGGAGGGAUUAGGCCCGACGAUGUCCAGCAACCCCCAAUAUGGGAAGGUGCUAAUUCCUACAGAAUUCAUUUCUGAAAGAUAAA